AAUCAAGCGCGAGAAGGGCGUUUGGUGGAUGCCUUGGCAGUAAGAGGCGAUGAAGGACGUGAUACUCUGCGAUAAGCCAUGGGGAGCUGAGAAUAAGCUUUGAUCCAUGGAUCUCCGAAUGGGGCAACCCACCUGACAGUUCGAUAUAAUAGCCUUCGGGCGAUUUAUAUCUGGCUGAAACAGGUACUUUUAACCUGAAUACAUAGGGUUUUAAGAGCAAACCCGGGGAACUGAAACAUCUAAGUACCCGGAGGAAAGGAAAUCAAUGAUACUCCCCUAGUAGUGGCGAGCGAACGGGGACCAGCCGAGCCAUGAGAGUGACUAGAACACGUUGGGAAGCGUGGCCAUAGCGGGUGACAGCCCCGUAUAGGAAGCUCGAUUGGACGUAUUAAGUAGAGCGGGACACGUGUAAUCCUGUUUGAAGAUCGGGGGACCACCCUCGAAGGCUAAGUACUCCUUACUGACCGAUAGCGAACCAGUACCGUGAGGGAAAGGUGAAAAGCACCCCGACGAGGGGAGUGAAACAGUACCUGAAACCGAAUGCCUACAAUCAGUCGGAGCUUGACUGGACUCUAAUGACAAUCCCGGCGGUCUCGGCUACCACGAGCGAAAGCAAAGUGGAGCAGAGACAUGGACGGAACCCUGGCAGCCCUUUUCCUGGUCGCAUCGCUGACCGACAUGGGAGUAAAUCAUUGCGGAAGCGGAUGCUUCGCCUCCGGCGAAGAACGUGACCGUAUCGCACUCAGCUUCGGCGAGGUGCAAUACCAGGGGGCGAGCGUCGACGAAGAAAUCUACCUCAGGUACGAUUUCGGUCGGACGUUCGGACCGUUCCAGCCCAUAGUCGGCGCAUCGGUCACGACCCGCGGAGACGCGUGGAUCGGGGCAGGCGCCGCAUGGACCGCCACACUGGCAGAUACCGGGCUUUACGCCCAGCUGCAUCUGAUGCCCGGCAUCUACAGCCGCGGCAGCGGACCCGAUCUCGGCCAUACGGUCGAAUUCCGAUCGGGUGCCGAACUCGGAUAUCAAACCAGAAACGGGAUGCGUAUCGGCAUCAGUUACGACCACCGGUCGAAUGCCGAGCUGUCAUCAACCAACCCGGGCCUCGAAACCAUCCAAUUCAGGGUUUCGAUCCCCUUCUAGGUUGUCAUUAGUGUCCAGUCUUGUGACGGCGUACCUUUUGUAUAAUGGGUCAUCGACUUGGUCUAUCUAGCAAGCUUAAGCCGUUAGGUGUAGGCGCAGCGAAAGCGAGUCUUAAUAGGGCGAAUGAGUUAGAUGGAUCAGACCCGAAACCGAGUGAUCUAGGCAUGACCAGGAUGAAGGUUAGGUAACACUAACUGGAGGUCCGAACCCACACCUGUUGAAAAAGGUCGGGAUGAGUUGUGCCUAGGGGUGAAAGGCCAAUCAAACUCGGAGAUAGCUGGUUCUCCGCGAAAUCUAUUUAGGUAGAGCGUCAUCCGAAUACCCCGGGGGGUAGAGCACUGGAUGGGUAAUGGGGCCCCACAGGCUUACUGAUCCUAACCAAACUCCGAAUACCCGGGAGUACUAGAUGGCAGACACACGGCGGAUGCUAACGUCCGUCGUGGAGAGGGAAACAACCCUGACCUCCAGCUAAGGCCCCUAAUUCAUGGCUAAGUGGGAAAGCAGGUGAGACGACCAAAACAACCAGGAGGUUGGCUUAGAAGCAGCCAUCCUUUAAAGAUAGCGUAACAGCUCACUGGUCUAAACAAGUUGUCUUGCGGCGAAGAUGUAACGGGGCUCAAGCCAUGAGCCGAAGCUGAGGAUGCACGUAGUGCAUGGUAGCGGAGCGUAGUGUGACAUAACACCAUGCCUCCUUAGCGCCUUCGGGCGCAUUGGAGGCGAGGUGUUUUCGAUGAAGCCGGCGCGUGAGCGAUCCGGUGGAGAGAUCACUAGCGAGAAUGAUGACAUGAGUAGCGAUAAACAGGGUGAGAGACCCUGUCGCCGAAAGUCCAAGGGUUCCUGCUUAAAGCUAAUCUGAGCAGGGUAAGCCGGCCCCUAAGGCGAGGCCGAAAGGCGUAGUCGAUGGGAACCAGGUUAAUAUUCCUGGGCCAGGAGAUGGUGACGGAUUGCGAAGAUUGUUCGACCUUAUCGGAUUGGUCGGGCCGUUCAGCAGUCCCUGGAAAUAGCCCUCCGUAGGACCGUACCCGAAACCGACACAGGUGGACUGGUAGAGAAUACCAAGGCGCUUGAGAGAACGAUGUUGAAGGAACUCGGCAAAAUACCUCCGUAAGUUCGCGAGAAGGAGGCCCAGUUUCUAGGCAACUAGUGGCUGGGGGCACAAACCAGGGGGUGGCGACUGUUUACUAAAAACACAGGGCUCUGCGAAGUCGCAAGACGACGUAUAGGGUCUGACGCCUGCCCGGUGCCGGAAGGUUAAAGGGAGGGGUGCAAGCUCCGAACUGAAGCCCCGGUAAACGGCGGCCGUAACUAUAACGGUCCUAAGGUAGCGAAAUUCCUUGUCGGGUAAGUUCCGACCUGCACGAAUGGCGUAACGACUUCCCCGCUGUCUCCAACAUCGACUCAGCGAAAUUGAAUUGCCUGUCAAGAUGCAGGCUUCCCGCGGUUAGACGGAAAGACCCCGUGCACCUUUACUACAGCUUCACACUGGCAUCAGGCCAAGCAUGUGCAGGAUAGGUGGUAGGCUUUGAAACCCGGACGCUAGUCUGGGUGGAGCCAUCCUUGAGAUACCACCCUUGCUUCGCUUGAUGUCUAACCGCGACCCCUUAUCGGGGCCCGGGACCCUGUGUGGCGGGUAGUUUGACUGGGGCGGUCGCCUCCUAAAGCGUAACGGAGGCGCGCGAAGGUUGGCUCAGAGCGGUCGGAAAUCGCUCGUUGAGUGCAAUGGCAUAAGCCAGCCUGACUGCGAGACUGACAAGUCGAGCAGAGUCGAAAGACGGCCAUAGUGAUCCGGUGGUCCCAAGUGGGAGGGCCAUCGCUCAACGGAUAAAAGGUACGCCGGGGAUAACAGGCUGAUACUGCCCAAGAGUCCAUAUCGACGGCAGUGUUUGGCACCUCGAUGUCGGCUCAUCUCAUCCUGGGGCUGGAGCAGGUCCCAAGGGUACGGCUGUUCGCCGUUUAAAGAGGUACGUGAGCUGGGUUUAGAACGUCGUGAGACAGUUCGGUCCCUAUCUGCCGUGGGUGUAGGAUACUUGAGAGGAGUUGCCCCUAGUACGAGAGGACCGGGGUGAACGAUCCACUGGUGGACCUGUUGUCGUGCCAACGGCAGUGCAGGGUAGCUAUGAUCGGACAGGAUAACCGCUGAAGGCAUCUAAGCGGGAAGCCCCCCUCAAAACAAGGUAUCCCUGAGGGCCGUGGUAGACGACCACGUCGAUAGGCUGGAGGUGUAAGUGCGGUAACGUACUCAGCUGACCAGUACUAAUUGCCCGAUAGGCUUGAUUUG
rfam:Oceanicola batsensis HTCC2597 scf_1099451005761 genomic scaffold, whole genome shotgun sequence.